GCUCCCGUAGUUUAAUGGAUAGAACGCGGGCUUGCGGAGCCCGUAAUCCAGGUUCGACUCCUGGCGGGAGCA
rnacentral:tRNA from 1 species